UACGUAGGGUGCAAGCGUUGUCCGGAAUUAUUGGGCGUAAAGAGCUCGUAGGCGGUUUGUCGCGUCUGCUGUGAAAAUCCGGGGCUCAACCCCGGACUUGCAGUGGGUACGGGCAGACUAGAGUGUGGUAGGGGAGACUGGAAUUCCUGGUGUAGCGGUGAAAUGCGCAGAUAUCAGGAGGGAACACCCGGUGGCGGAAGGCGGUUCUCUGGGCAUUAACCUG
rnacentral:rRNA from 1 species